GGAGGCAUUUGCCACAUCAACAGAGCACAGCCGUGCAACUCAGUGUGCUGCUGGUAGGUGGCAUCGUGGCUACCUUCUGGAUAUCCAGCCACACCUGCCCCGAUGAGUGGCAGCCUCUUAUAACUGUUUUGGGUUGGCCCAAACCAGUGGUUCACAAGCCUGGCUAUACAUUAGAAUCUCCUGGGAAGGAUCUCUGAUGCCCAGAAACUCCAAUAGCAACUGGAUGGCAAUCCCUGGAGUGUGGGGUGACGCUCACGUGCAGUGGCAUCGACAGUCGCUGGUACAAACCAUCAGAGGACCCUCAUCCCUUUGCCACAAUGAUUGGUUCACAGAUGGGUAGUGGCCUGAGGCCCAAGCCAGUCAGCAUCUGAUGAGGUAUUAACAUUUGGAACAAUGGGGCUGAGUCAGAACUUCGUAUCAGGUGCAACAUCAAGUCUAUUCAUUUAUUUUAUUUUUGUUGGAGCACAGAGGGUGUUGUAGCAAAGGGAAGAAGAACACAGAUGGCAUGUUUUGCAAUAUUUGGGUAUCUUUGCAAUGGGCUCCUCCAAAAAUCAUUAAUUAUUUCAUCUUGGAGAGCUCACCUUCCAGUUUUUCAGGAUCCGGAGGCUGAAAUUAUUCAUCUUCACUCUGAACUGUUCAACUAUUUGUUUGUUCAAGUCCGUAAGAUCGGCUUUUUGUUAAAACUGCCUUCUCUCGGAUACAUCGAUGAGAAAAGGACACACCCUCUACCCAUUGGGCAUUUGAGCACAGAGUUACAAUGCAGAUUCUCUUGGCAAGCCUCCAAUUGCGUUUUCUGGAACUUCUCUUUCCAACCAUUCAUACAGGCUUUUCCAGAUCACAGAUGAAAACCUCUUACUUCCUUUGUCACUCCCAUAGACUAAAGCUCCUUCUUUGUGAAGAUGACUCAAGGAGGGAGAGGAGGAGAAGCCACAGCCCAUCAAUGUCUCUGGGCAUCACACCCUACUUGGCUGGGCAUUUCUGAUAGGCACAGCCCUCUGGUAGCGGAAAGAGAUCGCUAGGCUAGGCUCGUACUCAGAAGUGAAGAGUGCAAAAUAACUGGAAAGAAGGUGACCCAAGCCUUCCUUCUGAUGUUAGCUUCUUAUGACCCGGAGAAGAAAGAAAGCGUGCUUGUCACAAACGCUGUCGCUAGCACAGUGCCUGCCACGUGGUAGACAUGAAUUACCUGCCCGAUGGAUGAAUAUACGGGAAGAGCAAAAGUUCGACAACUGCCAGAUUUGGUUUUAAGUACCUUUAGCGACCCAGACCUGGAAUGCGUAAGUUAUCGUCAAAGGCCAGUAUUCGCAGGGCUGGGCGCUUCCUAGCUGUACUCUGUCUGCCUGUUUGUUGCUCCACUAAGUCACUUGGACGAUAGAAGUGGUGGCCUAGCAAGUGAAAUAGCUUGUGCGAAGGUAGCUUAUACAGCACCUACCGCUCAGAUACUCAGUGAAGGACAACCCAUCACCUUCCAGACGCUCUUGGUUCCAGCUGCUAGCCCACGUGUGUUCGGGCUCCACCUCCUCACCACGUCGUUCUGCCGUCACACUUCAGAUUGGUCCCUCCCUCUCCCCUUUCAGAAGUUGAGCUCCUUGAAGACAGGAACCAAAUCGUACCUUGGUUUCCUCUCUCCUUGGCACAGUGAGUCCUCCCUAUGUGUCGACUGAAGGAAUUAAAACAAGGCUGUGGGGCAUGCUGGCAAAAUCGUAUUUUGAGAUCUUCCUGGUUAAACAAAAUGAUAUAAAGAUCAUCCCGUAGAGAGUUUAAGUCUGAAUUCUGCCUCCGCCUCACGGUCCUCUGGGGAAGGCGCUUAGUAACCAGGGCCCCUUUAGGUCAUCUGUGUAGCAGACAACGUGGUUCUAGGUAGCUUGCAGCUUUAGAAUUCUACGAGUUCAAGCUACUUCUCGUAAAAAAAAUUUAGCCCCUGACUAGAUUUGUUCACAUACUGAACCUGUUUGGAGGCCGCAGUAACUACAGGUGAAAGUGGAAUUUUCUAAAUCACCUCUCCUGCCUCAUUCCGUGCAGAGAAGACUUGGAAUAAAAGAAAAGCUUUCUUUGGAAAGAAAUCAUGACAAAUCCUGAUUUGUCAUGAUCUCUUCCAUCCCUGCAGGAAAGCCACAGGAAAAACAGGUUUUCUCUAUAGAAACACAACUACAACAUACACCUUCAGGAAUGGCCUCACGUUUAAGUGCCUGUGAAUAAAUCAUUUCCUUUGAUUUUGCUCUAACCAAGACCCUCCCACAGCCAUGAGGCCUGUCUUCUUUCAGCCAGAGAAAACUCACAGCUUAAAGGCAGACAGAAGCCCAUUCUACUGUUACCGGCCGUAAGUUUUGUGGUGGCCGGCCUCCAACAUGGCCGCAGUAAUCCCUCCUCGCUGGUCUUCAUGUCUUUGUGUCAGCCUCUCCCACUGUCCCACACUGUACAGAAUUGUCUGUGUGAUCAACAGAAUACAGAGAAGCGAUGAUAUGCCACUUCCCAAACUCAGUUAUAAAAGACUAUGGCUUCAGACCUGGUCUCUUAUUCUCUCUUUCUCUCUCUCGUCCCUUGCCCUAGCGGAAGCCAGUUGCCAUGGGAUGAAGACAUUCAGGCAAACAGUGGAGAGGCCCAUGAUAAGGCAGAAAACUGAAAUCCCUGCUAACAGCUGGUGAGAAAAGGAGCACCUACUUACUGAGAAGAUGCUCAGAAGAGACCAGGGAAAGGGUGAUGGUUCCUAGCUUCUGAACCCUCCUUCCCGCACGACAGAGGAGAAGGAUGCUUUAUGGACACACUUUCCUCACGUGCCUGCAUUCUGUUGCCACCUCCCGAGUUUCAGAGCUGGCCCUUUGUCUCAGAGUACCACUUCCCUUGCAGUUUUCCUAUUGAGGUGAACUGCCCCAUUUUGAGGAUGAUUUGCUACGAUAUUACUGCCACUGCGGUGUGUAAAUAUCACUGGCAGAUUGAGAGCAGAAAUAUUUUUCAAAUAACUGUGCCCAGAUCCUGUCUCUGUAAGGUAACUAUCUCAGACUUCUUAGGUUCACUUCCUUUAUUUCCUAAAUUCUUAUUAUUUUUUUUUGUUGUUGCUUUCUUCUCUUAAGCUAGAUGUUUCUUCAUAACUUCAUGCCACUAUCUUCAUGUUAAAGAUAGAGAAAGGUAUAAAACAUUAACCUUUUAUUCAAGAUUAUCCCAUAGCAUAGAUUUGUACUGUCCUGAUUGAUGAGCUGUGUACCUGGACAAAACACAGUCUAUAUCUGCUUUAUCCGCCACUGCUCCAAGAUAAAAGUGGUCCCAGGGUAAUCAUCACCAACAAUUGCUAAGAAAAAAACGUAUAUUAUUUUGACUCAGGUAACUUUUACAAUAGCCACAACAUUAAAAUAGAAAAGUUAAAUCAAUGACUUAUAAGUAGAUUAAGUGAGUAUUAGAAUACACCUUUGGUAAUUUCUGGUUUUGUAAGGAGAUUUUGUUUCCAUUUGCCUUGUUUUGGAGAGCUUUAGACAAAGUGUACCUUUUUGAUUUAGUUAUUAGAACAGCUGAUGCAAUUUAAAACACAUUAAAAUACAGUUUUGAUUUAUUUUUUGGUUGCCGUGAUCAUGGAUUACGUUGUAAAAUCUCUCUCCUGUGUUUUAGGAUACUAAUAUUCUACUCUCCUUAUAGAAAUUUAUAGCUUACAUUAAUGAAUUAAUAGGUAAUGAAUAUAGUUUCAACCACAGGUCCCCAGAUACUGUUGAAAGUGCAUCCCAGUAAUUAAGGAAAUAUGAGUGGGUACCCCCAACUAUGCAUGUUUAUUUAUAAAGUAUACACAUGUACUGCUUCAGGCAAUCAAUAUCGCUAGGGCUUAGUUUCCUUUUUAUGUUUUAGGUUAAGAAAUAUCAGUUAUAUUUCUCUUCCUAUCACCCCAAAGGGUUAUUUUCGGCAUAUGCCAUUUUGAAGAUGACUAACAUGAAACAUUAUAGACUUGCUACUUUCAAGUGGAGAUUUCCCCCCCUUUAUUUAACAUUUUCUUUACCAUUCAUGUACUUAUGUUACAUAUAUAGUGUUUUAACUGUGAUUUCUGGUGUUAAUGUAGUUUUAUUGCAAUGUAAAUGCAAACGAGGACCCCGGCGUUAAGACCAAAGUGUAAUCCAGUCCUAUGAUCUGAAGCACAGUGAUGCAACUCGUAUCAUCAGAAUGUUUAUUUCUAUAAGAUCCAGAACUAAAGGCUGUGUGUGGGUUUCUGGUCUCUGAAGUAUCUUACGAAAAAUAAACCCACUGGAAAAUAAAGAUGAAAGUUCCAUCACAGAGGCAUGAGAACCCGGAGUCUUCUUUCCGGGUGAUAAACAGGACAGCAUCCCAGUGAAAUAGUUACACUUAUUGAGAGUUUCUGGGAGCAGAAAUCAAUGCUGUUGCUUACAGGGCAGGUGCAGUGCAAAUAAAGCCCCUCAGUUCUGUCCCGGGCUCAGAAAGGCAUGAGAUCAUGCAGUUCACACAGGCUGCCAGAAAGCUGCAGCUCGACCCAUCUGGAGGCCACUGUCACGAUAAAGUCCCCAAAGGAGCGGGUGCCUGGCUCUUCUGCCUUGCCUCCUCUGCUCACAACUUCCUUCCUCAGCACAGGCCGGGGAAGAGCAGACAUCCUCUUUUUCAGGGCCACUGGCUGUUUCAAGACUCGGAUAAUGGGGAAAGUGCCAGUUGUACCAACUGGACGGUCAGUGUUAACUGUUGUCAUGCUCUAAUGAUUUGUAGUCAAAGUUGGGGUAACUUGAUCCACAAAUGAAAACCUGUAUGUCUGAUGUGCACCGAUGAAGAGGGCAAGCUAAGUCAAGACUUUGCACCCAAUUAUGACUUAAAUACUAAGGAUAAGCCAAGUAAUGACUUAAAUCGUGAGUUCUUUAACAUGUUGCCUGGAAUAUUUUGUUAAUCCUUAAUUUGCUACAAACCAUAAAUAUUGCCUUAAUUUGUGCAUGUAUUUGGUUUCUGAUUGUAUUUAUUUACUUUUUAAUUUUUUUUUAACGUUUAUUCAUUUUAGAGAGACAGAAAGUGAGCAGGGGAGAAGCAGAGAGAGA